rnacentral:snRNA from 1 species
CGUUUAGAAAUUGGUUAAUCGG